rnacentral:rRNA from 1 species
GAUGAACGCUGGCGGCGUGCUUAACACAUGCAAGUCGAACGGUGAAGGCGGAGCUUGCUCUGCUGGAUCAGUGGCGAACGGGUGAGUAACACGUGAGCAAUCUGCCCCUGACUCUGGGAUAAGCGCUGGAAACGGCGUCUAAUACUGGAUACGAGCUGCGAAGGCAUCUUCAGCAGCUGGAAAGAAUUUCGGUCAGGGAUGAGCUCGCGGCCUAUCAGCUUGUUGGUGAGGUAAUGGCUCACCAAGGCGUCGACGGGUAGCCGGCCUGAGAGGGUGACCGGCCACACUGGGACUGAGACACGGCCCAGACUCCUACGGGAGGCAGCAGUGGGGAAGAGUGCACAAUGGGCGAAAGCCUGAUGCAGCAACGCCGCGUGAGGGACGACGGCAUUCGGGUUGUAAACCUCUUUUAGCAGGGAAGAAGCGAAAGUGACGGCACCUGCAGAAAAAGCGCCGGCUAACUACGUG